rnacentral:rRNA from 1 species
AGAGUUUGAUCCUGGCUCAGGACGAACGCUGGCGGCGUGCCUAAUACAUGCAAGUAGAACGCUGAAGAAAGGAGCUUGCUUCUUUUGGAUGAGCUGCGAACGGGUGAGUAACGCGUAGGUAACCUGCCUUGUAGCGGGGGAUAACUAUUGGAAACGAUAGCUAAUACCGCAUAACAGCUUUUGACACAUGUUAGAAGCUUGAAAGAUGCAAUUGCAUCACUACGAGAUGGACCUGCGUUGUAUUAGCUAGUAGGUAGGGUAACGGCCUACCUAGGCGACGAUACAUAGCCGACCUGAGAGGGUGAUCGGCCACACUGGGACUGAGACACGGCCCAGACUCCUACGGGAGGCAGCAGUAGGGAAUCUUCGGCAAUGGGGGCAACCCUGACCGAGCAACGCCGCGUGAGUGAAGAAGGUUUUCGGAUCGUAAAGCUCUGUUGUAAGAGAAGAACGUGUGUGAGAGUGGAAAGUUCACACAGUGACGGUAACUUACCAGAAAGGGACGGCUAACUACGUGCCAGCAGCCGCGGUAAUACGUAGGUCCCGAGCGUUGUCCGGAUUUAUUGGGCGUAAAGCGAGCGCAGGCGGUUUAAUAAGUCUGAAGUUAAAGGCAGUGGCUUAACCAUUGUUCGCUUUGGAAACUGUUAAACUUGAGUGCAGAAGGGGAGAGUGGAAUUCCAUGUGCAGCGGUGAAAUGCGUAGAUAUAUGGAGGAACACCGGUGGCGAAAGCGGCUCUCUGGUCUGUAACUGACGCUGAGGCUCGAAAGCGUGGGGAGCAAACAGGAUUAGAUACCCUGGUAGUCCACGCCGUAAACGAUGAGUGCUAGGUGUUAGGCCCUUUCCGGGGCUUAGUGCCGCAGCUAACGCAUUAAGCACUCCGCCUGGGGAGUACGACCGCAAGGUUGAAACUCAAAGGAAUUGACGG